rnacentral:lncRNA from 1 species
CUUUUGCUGGAUUCUCCACAGCGUUCAUCAUCACUAAAAUCAGAAUCAUAGCCUCCAUGACCAUGCAUCUGUAAAGGAGUACAAAGUCAGCUAUUUAGAAUCUAUGUUGCCAAUUGUCCAGGAAACAAUAAUUCAAAAAUAAGUUAUCUUAAACAGCCACAAUAGUUUUAAAGGAUCAUUGUGGGCAGAUUCCUAUUCACAGGCCAUCUAGCCAUCUAAAACUUUCAUUCGCUUUUAAAUAAGAGACAUACCUUUCAGGAAAUGCAUCAACAUUUUUCACCCUUAAUUAUCAUUAGGUGAACAAAGAAGGCUACUCUUUGAUCUUUUCACUGAAAAACCAGGCCUAAAAGCUGCAGUGACUGCUUACAAGGUUUAGCAAUCCUUCACUUUUGAUUCAGAGUAGUAAUAAUCACUGUGUGUUUAUCACCAACUUUGUUCUAGACAUUGUGUUAAAUACUUUACAAACAACACUUCUAAUUCUGCAAGUUAGAAAGUUAUCUUCAUUUAGGAAUGAAGUAAUCAAAGUUAAGUAAAUCUAUUUACAAAUCCAGUAAGUGGCUAAUCUGCUGUACUUGAUUCCUGCGCCCACAAUUUCAAUUACUCCAAAUUUCCUCUCU